CUUCAUUCUGGGAAGUGUAUGUAAAACUCCCACAGUGAGGGACUGCUUAGAAGUUGCCAGAAUGUAUGAUUUCCCUUUAAUCACAGCGAGACCUAACUUUCCCUGGCUGCGGGUUUCCUUCCUGCACGACCCUCACCCCUUCCAACAGGCCGUCUGCAAGUGAACUUCUCCCGCAGAGAAGAGAAGGCUUUCCCCGAGCACUGGGGGAGGUGAGCGCAAGGGCUCGUGGAGGAACCGUGUGCCCUCCCCUCCUGCCAUCAGGUCCCUGACUCCCUCUCUCCAAGGCCAUGUCUGUUCCUGCAGCCAGCGAGGCCCCGAGGCUGCAGAGACGCAGGCGAUGGUGCCCCAGGGACGUGUGGAGAGGCACCGAAGGGGUGGGGGCGCACCAAGGGGAUGGGAAGUGGAAUCUGCGCUCGUACGUCCAGGGGCCCCUCUGGAUAUGGUACCCAGGACCAGCUACAGUGAUGAGAAUUCCCGGAUGCCCAGGCUUACCAUCAGCUUUUACCAGGAGGCUUUUGAGUUUCAGGAACGCCUAGGUCACCCUUGGACUUCAGAGCAGGGUAUGCAUUUACUAACCCAGCAACCGCGUAAGUGAUGUAUGAUUUAUUCCUCUAUUUCAUAUAAACUCAUCAUGUGUGUUUCUCUCUGAGGAUGGACACAUACGAGUUCAGGGUGGCUCUGUCUGCUGACAUCUCCCCUGUGCGUUCCUUUGAGGCUGGAGGAGGCUGCAGGAACUCGGAAGCCUACUGACAUCUUUCCAGCAGGACACGGUCUACUGCUAACUGAGAGAGACAAGGAGCAGGAGACCAGGACGAAAUCACGUCCUCCUUGGAUGCUACCUCCUGGCAGUCUCUGAGGGCACAAGUUAAGGCCAUCAAGAGACGCUGAAUUAAGAGAUAACAGCAUAUUCUAUCAUCAUCUCCCUUGGGUUCUCCGAGGGUCAGAAUUCUCAGGACACAGCUUGGAGGAAACUGUAGCAGGGACUAACCUCUCACUCCCUUUCAAAACCAGAUUCCUCAAGGUAGGUGUAAAUGCUAUACAAAUAUAUACAGAAAUAUUUGGACAGCAGAUGUUCGUAUAUAUAUUACAUACAUAGUAGUGAAGGGGGAACAGUUAUGCAAAGUUCACAUGAAGGAAACUGUGACAAUCCAGGUGAAAUUAGUCUGAGGGAGAGGGGCAAAGUGGCUUCUUUAGGAACACAGAUGUCUGUGGACUCAGGUCAUGGUCAGGAGGCUUAGGAUGCACUGAUACAGGUUGAGAAGGUAGCAUACAGAGGUCUGCCACCAGUGCCGUGAGGGUCCACUGUUACUCACACAAACACAAAACCGACCAAGGAAGAGACAUGCGUCCUACACAUGCAUUGCUCUGCACGUAACACCUUUAACGCAGGGGAGAGGUCUAAACGAGAGGUUUUCUUGGACGAUUCUGUACCAACAGAAAGCUCUCCUUUCCCAUGAAACGUACAAGCUCACAUCCUAACGCUACAGCUUUGUCUCUGAGACACUGAAAACGCUCUGGGGACGGGGGGCGGGGGUGUGUGAAUGCAAAUGUAGAUACACAGUUCGUUAAGGCUUUGAUAAAUUAAAAAAAAAAGUGGUCCAAAGUAUAUCACAUUUUUCUCCCCAGUUUUAAAAUCUAAAGUACAAAGUGGAGUUUAUGAAGCAUUAUUUUAAAAAACACAUCUUGGACCUAAAAUCGGCAGUUGUGACCUACCGGGAUGCACCCCGAAGUCAGAGGAGAAAGGAAAAGAGCGCUGAGACCCACGCCUCGCCGUUUCCUGUCGCAGAGGUGGCAGGUGCCAGAGCAGACCCUGCCUGGAGCCAAUCUCUCCUGGGCAGGACUCCCCAAAUUCACCGUUAGGCCGACAAGAGGGGAGACUAGAAACAAGCAGGACUUUUACAGGUGACUGGGUUAGCUCAUGUUUAAAAACCUUUCAACCACAUGCAAUAUGCAAAUUCUGGAACUGGCUUCUUAACCUCAUGGCUAAAUGGCUCGUAAGGGCUCUUUUCCAGGGGCCUAGAGAAGCUGGAUUCCGGUCAUUUCUAAAAAGGCAUCACUGUUGAGAGAGAUCCAGGGGCGGCGACAGCGUCUUCCACCCCCAGGGGUGCUGAGCGGGCUGGGCAGAGGCCCUCUGCUCUUCCUUACUGCCUCCUGAGAGUUCAGUGCGACAGGGGUGGACAGCAGUCGUCAGGAUCGAGAGAACAAGGUGCAUGGCUGUUUAGACGCAGAGUGAAACCCUGAGGGUUGCUGCGAACUGGGGAAGCUUAUUUGGAUUCAAGGAAGCCAAAACCCCCAAACAAACUCUAAACCCAGCACUUCCGAGCCAUCACUGAAAUGAGAUAAUAAGGGAGAGAUGAACUGAACUGUCAUUCACAAUUACCGCCUUCCAAGUAUUCACGGGGGUCUAUUUCAAUAAUUCUUAUCUGUUCUUGGCACAGAAAUGAUCUUAGAAUGGGGUUUCUUUCGUAUUUUCAGUACUUUGCCUAAUUUGCAUUCAGUGAACAUUCUGAUUUAAGAACUUAUGAAAUGACAGAAGAACUCCAGUUCUUCGACAAGGAUUGUUGGAUUUCUUCCCUAUAACUGCACACUUAUGAAACCCAUCCCAGCACACUGCUCUCCCAGGCUCUGACAUGAAUCACAAAAAGCAAGCCAAGGGGCUAAGAGGAGGAGACACUUGUUAUAUCAACUGAAGGGAUGAAAUCCCACCAAGAGGUAAAAAUAAUGAGCAACAUUGUUUUUCUAAUUACUCAACAUCUAGGUUUUCUGAUCACUACUGGAUUUUUAAAAAUCACUGUGAAGGGGAACAACCCUCAAUUCUGGAGAACUCCACCUUCUUUUAGAUGCCACGGGCUCCGCAGCCUCUUUAAACAAACCAACCAUAAACAUUUCGUGGCUUCCCACAAGCCACCCGGAAGAUCCUAAACGGAGGCCCUGAAACCACAAUUUUUUGGGUCUCAUCUAUGACUGGCAAGCGAUAUAUCCAGUUUCCCUGGACGGCCACUGCAGGGUUUAGGACAACACAGGUUAAGGAGGACAGAAGGGUUUGCUAGACCCCCCUCGCCCUGCCUCAGGCGUCCUUUCAAAACACAGUUCUGCAACAAGGACUCACAAGUGGUCAAGAACCUGAAUCCCGCAGAAGCCUCCACCCCCAGCAGGGUCAGCUGGAAGGCCAGAUGUCAGGGCGUCAAAUCAAGUCUUCUCCGCCCUUUUAAUCUAGCACGUGAUGGACACAGCUUGGGCAGAACAUGGUAUGGAAGCAUGCAACAGGUCAUUGGGAACGAAACCCGGUUAGAUUAAGUGUCUAGUAAUCUUUGCAGUGGAGUAGAAAUCACAAAAUGCUUGGUCAGGACAGGUCUCUAGGCUCAGCUUUACAGCCAGGGUUUAGACACCAGCAGCCAGAUUCACAAUCAAUAGAUAUUGCACUGGAAGGGUGUGUGCAGAGAGAAGAAAUCACAUUCAAUGCUUAUGAUUAAAGAAAAAAAAAGAAAACCAGAUAUGACCUCCACAUAGUACAUAAAGUGCCUUCAGAAUUGGUGCAGUUAGAACAAAAAGUUGUGUAUUCAGCUACCGUUAGCAAACGCAUACAAACAGGAGACUGUACAGGUCUGCUUUCCACAGUUUCGAAUCACUCGGUGCCAAGUUUCACUCAAGUGUCUCUACUACAACAGCAAGGAGGAAAAUACAAUAGGAGGACUGUACAGCAUUGGGAAGGGUUAAGUAGCUUCUCUUACGAGAAGUGAUAGUCCAACCCUGCCUCAAAUGUGCUCCAGCACACGUGAUCACUUCUAAGGAAUAAUGGUGUGAUUCCUUCAAGUCGACACAAAUUUUGUCAUGCUAUGUUACAAUUCUCUCAGUCUGCAGCUAUUACACUGAAUUUGAACAAAAAAAACGUAAUAUCCAGUUCUCAUUCUGAGCAUGGAAAAAACUGUCAUGAUGUCUAAUGUUAGAGUAUUUGUCUGCAGAAGGUUUUUGGACAGAAGUCAGUCUUCCAUAGCUAAUCCAGUAGGGGGUGGGGCUUUCUAAGUACUUUAAAAAUAAAAACGUCACCAACAUUAAACCUGGUAUGAAGUUCAAAUACAAAAAAAAAAAAAAGUGCUCACUUUUCCAAGUACAUGAGACAUCUUUAAUUGUAGUGAAAUAAAAUCUGCAAAUCGGUCUAAAUCAUUUUAAAAAGUAAACAUGAGUUGUAAUACUA